rfam:Kingella oralis ATCC 51147 genomic scaffold Scfld0, whole genome shotgun sequence.
AUUUCCCUGCGGUGCUCGUAAUGGCACACAUUUCCUUGAACCAAUAAAGUUUGCUCGGUUGUCGGGAGUUGUAACAGGCGCGAGCGGUCUCUUGUUAGAUUGCACCCGAAGUUACCCGAGAUGACCACCUUGUGUACAAGGUUCAAGCGGACUCAGCCGAAACGGCAUUCGCGGGGUUCCA